rnacentral:rRNA from 1 species
GACGAACCGUGCGAACGUUAUUCGGAAUCACUGGGCUUAAAGCGCGUGUAGGCGGGACGGCACGUCUGUCGCUGAAAUCCCCCGGCUUAACCGGGGAACUGGCGGAGAUACGACCGUCCUGGAGGGGCGUAGGGGGACCUGGAACUUCCGGUGGAGCGGUGUAAUGCGUUGAGAUCGGAAGGAACGCUCGUGGCGAAAGCGAGGUCCUGGACGCCUACUGACGCUGAGACGCGAAAGCCAGGGGAGCGAACGGG